rnacentral:rRNA from 1 species
GAUUCUAUCGGUAUGGGAUGGGGUCGCGUCCUAUCAGGUAGUCGGCGGGGUAACGGCCCACCGAGCCUACGACGGGUAGCCGGCCUGAGAGGGCGACCGGCCACAUUGGGACUGAGAUACGGCCCAGACUCCUACGGGAGGCAGCAGUGGGGAAUAUUGCACAAUGGGCGCAAGCCUGAUGCAGCGACGCCGCGUGCGGG